CCUACGGGGGGCAGCAGUGAGGAAUAUUGGUCAAUGGCCGGGAGGCUGAACCAGCCAAGUCGCGUGAGGGAAGACGGCCCUACGGGUUGUAAACCUCUUUUGUCAGGGAGCAAGGUGCAGGUCGGGACCUGCUGUGAGAGUACCUGAAGAAAAAGCAUCGGCUAACUCCGUGCCAGCAGCCGCGGUAAUACGGAGGAUGCGAGCGUUAUCCGGAUUUAUUGGGUUUAAAGGGUGCGCAGGCGGAGGCUCAAGUCAGCGGUAAAAUCGCGGGGCUCAACCCCGCUCCGCCGUUGAAACUGUGUGCCUUGAGUGCGCGAGAGGUAGGCGGAAUGCGUGGUGGAGCGGGGAAAUGCAUAGAUAUCACGCAGAACUCCGAUCGCGAAGGCAGCCUACCGGCGCGCAACUGACGCUCAUGCACGAAAGCGUGGGUAUCGAACAGGAGUAGAUACCCGGGUAGUC
rnacentral:rRNA from 1 species